UACGAAGGGGGCGAGCGUUGUUCGGAUUUACUGGGCGUAAAGGGCGCGCAGGCGGCGCAUUUUGUCAGGCGUGAAAGCCCCGGGCUUAACCUGGGAACUGCGUUUGAUACGGAUGGGCUAGAGUUCGGGAGAGGAGAGUGGAACUGCGAGUGUAGAGGUGAAAUUCGUAGAUAUUCGCAAGAACACCAGUGGCGAAGGCGGCUCACUGGCCCGAUACUGACGCUGAGGCACGAAAGCGUGGGAGCAAACAGG
rnacentral:rRNA from 1 species